ACGGGGGGUGCAAGCGUUGUUCGGAAUCAUUGGGCGUAAAGCGCGCGCAGGCGGCUUGGUAAGUCAGAUGUGAAAUCUUUGGGCUUAACCCAGAAAGUGCAAUUGAUACUGCCGUGCUAGAGUACAGGAGAGGUAAGUGGAAUUUCUGGUGUAGCGGUGAAAUUCUUAGAUAUGAGGCGGAACACCGGUGGCGAAGGCAGCUUACUGGACCGAUACUGACGCUCAUGCACGAAAGCGUGGGGAGCAAACAG
rnacentral:rRNA from 1 species